rnacentral:rRNA from 1 species
CGAAAAGCGACGGCGAGGUGAUAUGAACCCUUGACCCGUCGAUGUCCGAAUGGGGAAACCCAGUGCAAUCCGUUGCACUAUCGUUAACUGAAUACAUAGGUUAACGAGGCGAACCGGGGGAACUGAAACAUCUAAGUACCCCGAGGAAAAGAAAUCAACCGAGAUUCCCCCAGUAGCGGCGAGCGAACGGGGAGCAGCCCGGAGUCUGAAUCAGCUUGUGUGUUAGUGGAACGGUCUGGAAAGUCCGACGGUACAGGGUGAUAGUCCCGUACACGAAAGCACACUUGCUGUGAACUCGAAGAGUAGGGCGGGACACGUGGUAUCCUGUCUGAAUAUGGGGGGACCAUCCUCCAAGGCUAAAUACUCCUGACUGACCGAUAGUGAACCAGUACCGUGAGGGAAAGGCGAAAAGAACCCCGGCGAGGGGAGUGAAAAAGAACCUGAAACCGUGUAC